rnacentral:piRNA from 1 species
UUCAACUGAAAAUCUAGGGACAAGAGAAGU